GAUGAACGCUGGCGGCGUGCCUAAUACAUGCAAGUCGAGCGAACAGACGAGGAGCUUGCUCCUCUGACGUUAGCGGCGGACGGGUGAGUAACACGUGGAUAACCUACCUAUAAGACUGGGAUAACUUCGGGAAACCGGAGCUAAUACCGGAUAAUAUAUUGAACCGCAUGGUUCAAUAGUGAGAGACGGUUUUGCUGUCACUUAUAGAUGGAUCCGCGCCGCAUUAGCUAGUUGGUAAGGUAACGGCUUACCAAGGCAACGAUGCGUAGCCGACCUGAGAGGGUGAUCGGCCACACUGGAACUGAGACACGGUCCAGACUCCUACGGGAGGCAGCAGUAGGGAAUCUUCCGCAAUGGGCGAAAGCGUGACGGAGCAACGCCGCGUGAGUGAUGAAGGUCUUCGGAUCGUAAAACUCUGUUAUUAGGGAAGAACAAAUGUGUAAGUAACUAUGCACGUCUUGACGGUACCUAAUCAGAAAGCCACGGCUAACUACGUG
rnacentral:rRNA from 1 species